rnacentral:rRNA from 1 species
CUCUGUGACUCCUACGGGGAGGCAGCAGUGGGGAAUAUUGCACAAUGGGGGAAACCCUGAUGCAGCCAUGCCGCGUGUGUGAAGAAGGCCUUCGGGGUUGUAAAGCACUUUCAGUAGGGAGGAAGGUAGUGUAGUUAACACCUGCACUAUUUGACGUUACCUACAGAAGAAGCACCGGCUAACUCCGUGCCAGCAGCCGCGGUAAUACGGAGGGUGCGAGCGUUAAUCGGAAUUACUGGGCGUAAAGCGCAUGCAGGCGGCCUGUUAAGUCAGAUGUGAAAGCCCGGGGCUUAACCUCGGAAUUGCAUUUGAAACUGGCAGGCUAGAGUCUUGUAGAGGGGGGUAGGAAUUUCAGGUGUAGCGGUGAAAUGCGUAGAGAUCUGAAGGAAUACCAGUGGCGAAGGCGGCCCCCUGGACAAAGACUGACGCUCAGAUGCGAAAGCGUGGGGAGCAAACAGGAUUAGAUACCCUGGUAG